GUCUACGGUCAUACCACUCUGAAUGUCCCCUAUCUCUUCUGAUCUUGUCAACCUAAGCAGGGUGAGGCCUCGUUAGUACUUGGAUGGGAGACUAUGGUGAAGCUGAGCCAGGAUUUGAACCCA
rnacentral:rRNA from 1 species